rnacentral:rRNA from 1 species
GAUGAACGCUAGCGGCAGGCUUAACACAUGCAAGUCGAGGGGUAUUGGUUUUCGGACCAAGAGACCGGCGCACGGGUGCGUAACGCGUAUGCAAUCUACCUUUUGCAGAGGGCUAGCCCAGAUAAAUUUGGAUUAAUACAUCAUAGUAUAGUAGUCUCGCAUGAAACGACUAUUAAAGUUCCUACGCCAAAAGAUUAGCAUGCGUCCCAUUAGCUAGAUGGUAAAGUGACAGCUUACCAUGGCAACGAUGGGUAGGGGACCUGAGAGGGAGAUCCCCCACACUGGUACUGAGACACGGACCAGACUCCUACGGGAGGCAGCAGUGAGGAAUAUUGGACAAUGGGCGCAAGCCUGAUCCAGCCAUGCCGCGUGCAGGAUGACGGUCCUAUGGAUUGUAAACUGCUUUUGUACAGGAAGAAACACUCCCUCGUGAGGGAGCUUGACGGUACUGUAAGAAUAAGGAUCGGCUAACUCCGUGCCAGCAGCCGCAGUAA